rnacentral:lncRNA from 1 species
UCUUUUUUUUUUUUUUUUUUUUUUUUUUUUUUAAAUAAAUUAGCCAGUGUAUUUUCCCUAAGGUUAAAUGAAAUUUUUUCUGUCUCCUCUCCCGUCCCUGUUGAAAGUGGCCGUGGUGUGUCCUUGUUUGGUCAGCUGUGUCCCUUAACUUUCUCAAAUCUCUUUAGCCCCUUCUGCCCCAUGCUGGAAAUUGUGUGCCUGCCUUUUUAAAAGGUAGGCACCUCAUGUUUCCAGUUCAAGUGCAGUGGAACUCACCCUGCAGCUUGAACAGAUUUGAGUGUUUUUGCAGAGGGAGGGCCGGGGCAGAUGGGGAGUGUCGUGCUCAAUAAAUACUUGUUGGAUGGAGUUGCUGGAAAGGCAGCAGGGGUGGGGAGAGUGAGCCACACUUCCCCAGGCGCACUGCACAUGGCUUUUCCCACUCCUGGUCCGCACACACUGUGCCCCCUUUAUAACACCUUUCAUUAGCUACUUACAAGGCACCCCUACCCCCCACCCCUCCCGAAGUGUGAGUGUUCCCUCUCUUCAAAUCACUGGGCUCCCAUUCAUCCUGGUCAUUGGGCUCAAAGCCCAGCGGGUGGCAAAGACGUGGCAUUUCCAUGGCUGUCUGCUAGGCCUGUAGGUUCUCUUCCCCACACACUUAAAGCCAGAGGGUGAGCCUGGGCGGGUAGUUACCAGGUUGAUCCAUGGAAACAGCCAGUGUCGAGGAUUUUGUUGUGAUUUUGUAAAAGAGCCGGAAGACCUGGCUUUAGGCUUAGACGGGGAUAUGGGUGAGAGGCCAAGGAGCCCGAGAUGAACACGGGAUGUCCUUUUGGCUCCAGGUGGAUUUGCACCAGAUUCCCAGUUGUGCUAGAAAGGAAAGCAGGAGACCAAAAUCUGAAGUAGCGACGUUUUUGGGGCUGGGGAGCAGAAUGGUCUGUUGGCCCGAGGGUGGCUUCAGAGGUGUGUGAUCAGGCAGGAAGCCAGGCACCACCCUUUCUCCUUUCCCUACCAAAUGGGGGAAAUGCUGGAAAGACACUGUCACGGUCAUUCUCCAAGCCCUACAUUGUCGUCCAUGGAGCCUGGGCUCCCCUGCCCUUCAAGCUGCCAACUGCGGGCCUUUGGCUUAGCCAAAACGGUUUUAGCAACCUACCCGGCUGGGGGGGUCAAAUAGGAGCCUACACCAGAGCCACAGCAACACAGGAUGCGAGCUGCAUCCGUGACCUACACCACAGCUCACAGCAACGCCGGAUCCUUAACCUACUGAGCAAGGUCAGGGUCGAACCCGCAACCUCGUGGUUCGCAGUCGGAUUCGUUAACCACUGCACCAUGACGGGAACUCCAAGGUUUGUUUGUUUUUGUCUUUGUUUUUGCUUUUGCUUUUUAGGGCCGCACCCACAGCAUAUGGAAGUUCCCAAGCUAGGAGUCCAAUCAGAGCUGUAGCUGCCAGCCUACACCACAGCCACAGCAAUGCAGGAUCCGAGCCGCAUCUGUGACUUACACCACAGCUCAGGGCCACCCCAGAUCCUUAACUCACUGAGCGAGGCCAGGUCUGGAUAGUGUGGUUUUGACAACAUGUUCCAUGUGUUUAGCUCUUUGUUGCUCGCAGUUGGUACCCUCAAACCUUUCUUGUCUAUUGUCACAACCGUCCUGCAGGUGCAGGUGGCAUUUGUUUUUGCAGAUAAGGAAACUGAGGCCCCGAGAGGAAGUGACUUGCCCAAGAUCUUAUGACUAAUAAAGCCCUUCUUCCUGAUCCAAGGCUCUUCCCACUUCUGUGCGGAGAGCUCGUGGUAAAUUUCCUUCCAGCCUGGCAUCCUCUGCUGCCUGCCCGGCACAUGCCCAGCCUGUUUCCCUUCUGCUUGUAUACCUGUAUUCCAGGGGCAAAAAUUUAUUUGUUUCACUGGUCAAAAGACAAUUGAAGAGGAAAGUGGACAGCAAGGAAGUCCCUUUGGCACCCCAUAAGUAACUGUCCACUUGGUUUGGCUGAGGGAGGGUGAUGGCUGUUACAUUACAUGUGUGAUCCGGUGGUGGCUUUUGAGUGUUUCCAACUGGUUUGAGAUAUGCAGUUUCGUGUGGAAUAAGAAGCUAGCUAGGGCCCAGGAGGCAGGCAGGGUUUGCCUGCUUCUGUGGGGUCAUGAUCGUGGUUACUGAGCUUGGGGCCAUGUCUGAGAGAUACUCUUAAGAUGAAGCUUAUAAGAAAGGGUGUCUCUCUUAUGUGUGACUGUGUGGAACCCCCCCACCCUCGCCCAAAAGCACCCAGGAGUCAGUGUGGGUGGCGCAUUCCUAUGGUGGGGGGGCAGGAUAGGUGUAGGUGGCAUUGUGUCAUGGGUGACAAUUUAGUCCUCCAUGUGGGGAAGCCCUGGGGCAGACCCCCCUGCACCCCCGCCAUGCUCCACCUGAGCCUGUCUCCAUCUCCCAGCUUCAGAUUAACCGGGAGUGGAGUCAUGGUGUUGCGUGAGUGUCUUUAUGAGACAAGCAUGUGCCCAAAAAGGGGACUAACAGGCACUUGAACUCAGGAGAAAGCUCCAUCUAGGGACUUGGCAUCAGGGAGAAUUGCCUGGCCUGCUUCAUAGGUUUGGGGCAGCUCUUACCUCCUGUCUUCUUUUGCAAAACCAGAUUUUGUAUACAAUUCUUUUUUUUUUUUGGUCUUUUUGACAUUUCUUGGGCCGCUCCCGCGGCAUAUGGAGGUUCCCAGGCUAGGGGUCGAAUUGGAGCUGCAGCUGCCAGCCUCUGCCACAGCCACAGCCACAGCAACACGGGAUCCAAGCCGCGUCUUCGACCCUCACCACAGCUCAGGGCAACGCCGGACCCUUAACCCACUGAGCAAGGCCAGGGACCGAACCCGCAACCUCAUGGUUCCUAGUCGGCUUCGUUAACCACUGCGCCACGACGGGAACUAUGUAUACCAUUCUUGAAGAGCCUAAUAACCAUAUGCUUAUGUGGUGGAACUUUUCAUUCCCAUUUAUUUCUCAACUGCAUAAGGUAAAGUCCCACUGUAACAAAAAUUAUGAAAAUGGUUCUAUGUAAUAAAAUUGUUUCCAUGGUUCAUAUACAUGUUUUUGUUAUUGUGUUUUGUGGUUUUUCUCAUUUAAAGAAAAAGAGCAACCAGCUAGCUAAUGUGACAAGCACUUUUUCUGGGCCUUGUCCAUGUCAUAGUUCAUCUCGAAACCACAACACUUGAGUGUCUUGCUGUCGAGGCAGGGAGUGGGGAGCUGGGCUGCAGAACCAUCUCCAAGUAGCAUGGCCCCCUUUGCUUUUCUCUCUCUCUUUUUUGUCUUUUUGUCUUUUUAGGGCCGAACCCGCGGCGGCAUAUGGAGGUUCCCAGGCUGGCGGUCCAAUUGGAGCUGUAGCCUCCGGGCUACACCACAGCCACAGCAACGCCAGAUCUGAGCCACAUCUGCAACCUACACCACAGGUUGCGGCAAUGCCAGAUCCUUAACCCACUGAGCGAGGCCAGGGAUUGAACCUGCAACCUCAUGGUUCCUAGUCGGAUUCGUUAACCACUGAGCCAUGACGGGAACUCCCCCUUUGCUUUCUCUUUUAUCUCCAACCUCCCACCCUCCUGUCUGCCCUGGUUGUCUUUAGACAGACCACAGCACAAAACCUGACAAAGGGCAAUAUGUGUGAGUAUCUGAAUGUGAAGGGGUGUGUGUGUGUGUGUCUUGAGUGUGAAUGUGUGGGUGCCAGGGAUGAAUGUGGGAGAGGGUAGGCCUGAGUGUGUGUCAGGCAAAGAGCACGUGAAAGAAAACAAAGGAUAGGAGUUCCCAUCGUGGCUCAGUGGUUAAUGAACCUGACGAGUAUCCAUGAGGACGCGGGUUUGAUCCCUGGCCUUCUUCAGUGGGUUACGGAUCUGGUGUUGCCGUGAGGCGUGGUGUAGAUCACAGACAUGGUUCCGAUCCCGCAUUGCUAUGGCUGUGGUGUAGGCCGGCAGCCACAGCUCCAGUUAGACCCCUAGACUGGGAACCUCCAUAGGCUAAAAAAAAAAAAAAAAAAAAAAAGAAAAAAG